UCUUUUCGGAUUUAGCCAGCCUGCACCCAGGUGAUUAAAAGCUUUAUUGCUCACACAAAGCCUGUUUGGUGGUCUCUUCAUACGGACGCUCAUGAAAUUUGGUGCCGAAACUGGGGAUCAGGGGACCUCCCUUAGGAGAUCAAUCCGCUGUCCUUCCUCCUACUCUUUGCUCCAUGAGAAAGAUCCACCUACGACCUCUGGUCCUCAGACCCACCAGCCCAAGGAACAUCUCACCAAUUUCAAAUCCGAUCUUCUCGGCUUAGCAGCUGAAGACUGACGCUGCCCGAUUGCCUCGGAAGCCUACAGGACCAUCACAGACGCUCUGGGUAACUCUCACAGUGGAAGACAGGAAUGUCAGGCCUCUGAGCCCAAUCUAAGCCAUCAUAUCCCCUGUGACCUGCACUUACACAUCCAGAUGGCUGGUUCCUGCCUUAACUGAUGACAUUGUCUUGUGAAAUUCCUUCUCCUGGCUCAUCCUGGCUCAAAAGUUCCCCUACUGAGCACCUUGUGACCCCCACACUUGCCCGCCAGAGAACAACCCCCCUUUAACUUCCUGAGGAAGAUUGACAUUUGCUGCCUGCAUAAAGAACCCUACUUGGUGAAAACCCAAGUUUUGUUGGAGUCUGCUCCUGUGAGACAUGAGGAUAAAACAGUACGUGUGUACACUGUAGAUCUGGAAGGGAAAGCAGAAAGUAUCCAACACUUCUUGCAUAAAGAAAACAAAAUAAUUGGAGUCUAUUCCUCUCCACCUCGCAUCUGGGAUGUAACUUGAUGGACCAAUGGAA
rnacentral:lncRNA from 1 species